rnacentral:misc_RNA from 1 species
GGACCAUCUGCCUCUUCUUCAUUGUCACUGGAAGAGUGCUUGGUUCUCGACCUAUGCUUCUUCUCCCUCUUAGAUCUCUUUGAUUUUGACUUGGAUCUUCUAGAUUCUCUUUCCUCUUCGUCGCUGCUGGAUGAAUCAGAGGAUGAACUUGAGGAGCUAGACUCGGAAGAUUUCCUCUUGGAAUGCUUUCUCUUUUUUUUGCUCCGCUUCUUUAAUUCUCUGUUCUUCCUAUCCUUUUCGUGACCAGUCUUGCUACUAGAACGAUUUCUUCCAUGA